UCGGGAAUUUUGGGCAAUGGGCGAAAGCCUGACCCAGCAACGCCGCGUGAAGGAUGAAAUUUUUCGGAAUGUAAACUUCGCAAGAACGGGAAGAAUAAGUGGGGGAUAAUACCCCCCAUGAUGACGGUACCGUUUGUAAGCUCCGGCUAACUCCGUGCCAGCAGCCGCGGUAAUACGGGGGGAGCAAGCGUUGUUCGGAUUUACUGGGCGUAAAGGGCGCGUAGGCGGUCGUGACAAGUCACUUGUGAAAUCUCCGGGCUUAACUCGGAACGGUCAAGUGAUACUGUCGGACUAGAGUACAGAAGGGGCAACUGGAAUUCUCGGUGUAGCGGUGAAAUGCGUAGAUAUCGAGAGGAACACCUGCGGCGAAGGCGGGUUGCUGGGCUGAUACUGACGCUGAGGCGCGAAAGCCAGGGGAGCGAACGG
rnacentral:rRNA from 1 species